UGAGGUAGAUCACGAACCGUUUGGAGGGGGACGAGAAAUAGAAUGUUCCUGGUUGGCUGGUAGGCUAUGGUGAAAUAGGAAGCUACACGUCCAGCUAUAGCCACUUGAAAAUGAGGUGGCUUCUUCGAGGAGCACGCUGCGCUUUGGAUGGGCUGGAGUGGCAUUACAGAGCUCAGCUAAAUUCUCCCAUGGUGUGUUUCUGACCUCCUGUGUCUAUAUAUGGACUGACUACCCACAAUACGCAGUGCAGGAUCUUGGCCAGCAUUGACUGAGGGGAUCUCUGUGAUUUACUCCAUAUGAUCUUUGGCCUGCACUCUUCCAAUGAAACUGCAAAACUCAGCUCCUAGAGCCAUCUGCCUGUUCAGCUCCAGUAAGAACCCUUGCCUUCCCAUGUCGCAACAGACAGUUUCAGAUGAUUCAGUGCUUUGGAUGCCGAGGUAAAGGUCUCGAGAGGCCCUUUUGGUGACUAAUUUGCAGAAUCGCUGAAUGAAGAUGGGCAAUCUUGAUAUCUUCAUGGCAAAACGGCCUUCAGGAAUAUCUGUCAAUGGUUGAACCAGUUCUUCUUUAGGAAACUUCUCUCUGGGACAAUGUCAUCUGCAGUCUUAGGUCAGGAUGGCCAUUGGACGUGAGCAGUAUAUGUUGGCUAACUAAUGCACCAACACAUCAAAAUGAAGAUUUAAUUUUGUCAGAAGAGCCCUGAGGUUUUCCAGGCUCCAUUAAUUUGUUUCCCCAGGAGCGAUAAAAGCACUGAAAGUCUGCAACCUAAAUACAUCCAUCAAAAGAAUUUCAAUUCCUGAAUUUGAAAAGGAAGCAUCAACAACACUGAAAGCAAAAACAAUUGUGGGAGAUCUGAAAUCAAGGGCAAGCUUCAUGGAAUUCAAAUGGAAAUAAUAUUGUGCGUUAUCGCUGUACUCUUGUGCACUUGUGUUUUAAUUGUCUGUAGUUAUACAUUUGCAAGUCCUGACCGCUUUAGAUCUUCUCAGGCUAAGUUUACUCAUUAUCAACUGUUGCUGAAUCUUUUGGAGACUUUGGGACUGAUGUUUAAAGGUGUUUAGGUGCCUAAAAAUGCAGAUAGGCACCUAGUAGGAUUUUCAAAACCACCUGCCUGCAUCUUUGGGCCAGAUUUUUACUUAAAGUCUGCUGCACUUUGUGUGGCAAUGCCUAGCUUAUUUAGGAACCUAAAUCUCAUUUCCAAAAAAAGAUUUAGGCAUUUAGAUGUAAAAUCCCAUUGACUCAGUGCCUAAAUCCCUUUUGAAAAUGAGAUUUAACCUCUUAAAUCAGCUAGCGUUUAGGAGCUAGUCACCUAAAUCAGUUAGGGGUUCCUUCACUCAGUGUUACAAUGCCCAUUUAUCUUUUAAAGUCUGGGCCUUUGUUAUUAAAGUAGUACCAAAAAUCCAUCUCUCAUAUUCCACAGAGGAUGUUGGAUAAGAGGCAGAAAUGGUGACUACUCCAGGUGUUCUCAUGCUACAACAAAGGCUUUCUGAAGCUUGCUUGCCAACUCUGUAUUGUCUCCAGAGGAUUUCCAUAGGGAACUGUGGUCUGAGUAGAGAGAGCAUUUUAGCAUACUGCGUGAUAAAUGCAGAUG